rnacentral:rRNA from 1 species
CUUCGGGUAAUGAGGAUGGCGGACGGGUGAGUAACGCGUAAGGAACUUGCCUCUUGGUCUGGGACAACUGUUGGAAACGACAGCUAAUACCGGAUAUUAUGAGAUUCUCGCGUGGGAAACUUAUGAAAGCUAUAUGCGCCAAGAGAGAGCCUUGCGUUCCAUUAGCUAGUUGGUGGGGUAACGGCCCACCAAGGCGACGAUGGAUAGCCGGCCUGAGAGGGUGAACGGCCACAAGGGGACUGAGACACGGCCCUUACUCCUACGGGAGGCAGCAGUGGGGAAUAUUGGACAAUGGGCCACAAGCCUGAUCCAGCAAUUCUGUGUGCACGAUGAAGGUCUUCGGAUUGUAAAGUGCUUUCAGUUGGGAAGAAGAAAGUGACGGUACCAACAGAAGAAGCGACGGCUAAAUACGUGCCAGCAGCCGCGGUAAUACGUAUGUCGCAAGCGUUAUCCGGAUUUAUUGGGCGUAAAGCGCGUCUAGGCGGAAAAAUAAGUCUGAUGUUAAAAUGCGGGGCUCAACUCCGUAUUGCGUUGGAAACUGUUUUUCUAGAGUACUGGAGAGGUGGGCGGAACUACAAGUGUAGAGGUGAAAUUCGUAGAUAUUUGUAGGAAUGCCGAUGGAGAAGUCAGCUCACUGGACAGAUACUGACGCUGAAGCGCGAAAGCGUGGGGAGCAAACAGGA